CCUACGGGUGGCAGCAGUGGGGAAUAUUGGACAAUGGGCGAAAGCCUGAUCCAGCCAUGCCGCGUGUGUGAAGAAGGCCUUCGGGUUGUAAAGCACUUUCAGUGGGGAAGAAAGCCUUGGGGCUAAUACCCUCGAGGAAGGACAUCACCCACAGAAGAAGCACCGGCUAACUCCGUGCCAGCAGCCGCGGUAAUACGGAGGGUGCGAGCGUUAAUCGGAAUUACUGGGCGUAAAGCGCGCGUAGGCGGUCUGAUAAGCCGGUUGUGAAAGCCCCGGGCUCAACCUGGGAACGGCAUCCGGAACUGUCAGGCUAGAGUGCAUGAGAGGAAGGUAGAAUUCCCGGUGUAGCGGUGAAAUGCGUAGAGAUCGGGAGGAAUACCAGUGGCGAAGGCGGCCUUCUGGACUGACACUGACGCUGAGGUGCGAAAGCGUGGGUAGCAAACAGGAUUAGAUACCCUAGUAGUC
rnacentral:rRNA from 1 species